AGCUAUAUGAAUUAAUAUAUAGUUAUUUCUGCUCAAUGAGUUUUAAAUAGCCGCAGUACCCUGACUGUGCAAAGGUAGCAUAAUCAGUUGGCUUUUAAUUAAAGUCUGGUAUGAACGAAAACAUGGGUAGUAACUGUCUUAACAUAUUUAUUUGAACUUAUUAAACAAGUGCAAAGGCUUGUAGACAUAUAAUAGACGAGAAGACCCUAGAAACUUGAACUAGUUUUUGUUGGGGCGACAGGAUUACAUAAAACUUAUCUUAAAAUAUAUGACAUAAUAUUGAAAAUAUAAGUUACUCUAGGGAUAACAGCAUAAUUUUAUAAGUUUGUGACCUCGAUGUUGGACUAGGUACUAUAUCCUUAAGACAAGGAUAUAUUAUGCUCUGUUCGAGCUAAAUUACCUACAU
rnacentral:rRNA from 1 species